rnacentral:SRP_RNA from 1 species
GGCCGGGCCCUGUGCAAUGGUCCGCCGCCCAACCCCGUCAGGGCCGGAAGGCAGCAGCGGUAAGCGGUUGGUUCAUGUGCCGCAGUGUGCUUGGUCUGA